GACAGAGGUGCCAAGCGUUAGGCGGAAUCACUGGGCUUAAAGCGUGUGUAGGCGGAAUGGUAAGUACCUUGUGAAAUCCCACGGCUCAACCGUGGAACUGCUUGGUAUACUGCUUUUCUUGAGCCACUUAGGGGCUGUCGGAACAAACGGUGGAGCGGUGAAAUGCGCAGAUAUCAGGAGGAACACCGGUGGCGAAGGCGGGUCUCUGGGCCGACACUGACGCUGAGGAGCGAAAGCGUGGGGAGCGAACAGG
rnacentral:rRNA from 1 species